rnacentral:misc_RNA from 1 species
GAUGAAGAACGAGCGAAAUGCGAUAAGUAAUGUGAAUUGCAGAAUUCAGUGAAUCAUCGAAUCUUUGAACGCACAUUGCGCCCGCCAGUAUUCUGGCGGGCAUGCCUGUUCGAGCGUCAUUACAACCCUCAGGCCCCCGGGCCUGGCGUUGGGGAUCGGCGGAAGCCCCCUGCGGGCACAACGCCGUCCCCCAAAUACAGUGGCGGUCCCGCCGCAGCUUCCAUUGCGUAGUAGCUAACACCUCGCAACUGGAGAGCGGCGCGGCCACGCCGUAAAACACCCAACUUCUGAAUGUUGACCUCGAAUCAGGUAGGAAUACCCGCUGAACUUAAGCAUAUCAAUAAGCGGAGGA